rnacentral:lncRNA from 1 species
UUCCGAUCUGGGGCUUUCUCUCCCCUCCUCCCCUCCCAAUCUUCCUUGCUUUACAGUCGGGCCUGUGUGCUGGCCUUUCGCUCGCGCCCCUCCUCCAUCCCACCCUCCAUUCUCUUGGGAGGAGCAGAGAGGGGGAAAAAAAAGACAGAUUCCCUCCAUUUCUCUUUCUCGUAGAUUUUCUUUCUAUGAGCCGUCAGAGUUCAGUAGUAUACACGGAAGAAGAAAAGGCUGAUAGUGUGAACAUGGUUCGCAAGACAGAACUGUUUUUCUUAAAAUGUUUACUUUUUUUUUUUUUUUUUUUUUUUUUUUUUGCCAAAUGAUAGACUAAUGUAGUCAUUGGUCAGUCAGUCCACAAGUAAAUGAGCCAGCGGUUUACAAUGACAAUUCACUGUGCUGGUAAUUUUUAGUGGCAGUCCCACUGCUACAGUUUUAAACUCUUGCUGAAAAUAGAAAUCCUGCAUCCAAAUUUGUAAGGCAUAUGAAAUGUAAUAUUUUGAACCAAUACCUUGCAUGUAUUUUAGGUUUCAGAGAUGACUCGCCUUUUUCUGUGGUGAAAUAUCUGCUCCAAAAUAAUGAAAUGGUCAAUAAUUUGCUCAAUUAUUAAAGGGGGUGGGGAAGGCAUACUCGUGGUUCUAAAUAAAAGCUGUUUUAUCAAGUUUUUGCUAAUAAACUUAGAAAUACUCUAUUGGAAAUCCAAAUCACGGUCAGCUAGAGCUCAGGACAGAGCCAUGUGAGGCACAUGUGAGCCCUAUUAACUGCUAUUAGAUGAUACUGUUUGAUGAUUGCAUUGUGAAAAAUCAUUCUUAAUUCUUUUCUGAAUGUCUAAAACAACUACGACUAAUAAGGUAUCCUUAGCACUGGAUAGUUUUCAAUAAAAAUUUCUUGUAUUUUCAUUUUUUUGGUCUCAUACAUUAUAAGUCAUAUUUCCCCCAUAUUGACAAUGUAGGUUAAAAUCUUAACAUUUAUCUCUCCUGGGGGGGAGGGGAUGUAUACUCGAGUGCACUGCAGUCUAGCCAGUGGGUUCCUGCUGUUUAUAACUAGUUCACAGUGAUGAUGACAUUGCUUGACCAGGUUUCCAUCUUUAAAACAGAAAAAAACAAAAAAACUGAGCCAGAGUUCUCUUAGUAAUUCUUUAAACUAUUCCUAGAGGAUGUGUGGAAGUAUUACUCCUGUCCUUUCUUUCUGAUAUGCAUCCCCUUUAUUUAAAAAAUAAUAAUAAAGGCAGUUUACUUAAAGACUGUGCUUUGCAAAUAAUUUGUAAUUUAGGAAUGGCUAUGUUCAGAUGGUGAAUUAUUACUAGGAUGUUUCUUGUCUAGGGGAAAAAUGACUAUACUCUUGGAGGAGAUGUUCUGUUUAAUGUUAAUCAAAGGGAAAUGAUUUAAAGAUGCAUGCAUGGCAGAGUCAGGUAAAAUUUUAUUGUUUUUCAGUAAAAGGAAACAAUACUGUCAAAAGAUUGGAGUUUGCCUUUUUCUUGCUUUUGAAAGGAAACAAAACUAUAGUCCUUAUAUACAUUCCUAUAUAUACAUAUAUAUAUAUGCUGAACAUUUUUAUAUCAGGUACAGUACAAGAAAGUUUGUUGGCUAUUUCUCCCCAUUUUAGAAUUGAUUUUUUUUUUCCUUUGAUCCAAGGAAUCUGGUGGUUGAAGCAGAUGAUUUGCUCAAUUUUAAAGUUGUCACUCAAUUUGACUGUAUAGUCACUCUUAACAUUUUUAUUCACUGGUCACUGAUGAUUAAUGAAAUAUGUGUAUAUAUUUUGAAGUUUUAAUUUUGUGCAUAUAUAUUGCUAUUAACUAUUUGGAGAGGGCUUUUUGUGGGUUUUGUUUUUGCUCUCUCAUUUUUAUUAUAUUAUAUUAUAACCUGUUUCUACUGGUUAUCCUGAUUUUAGCAGGUAUCUUGGUAUUAAUAUCUCUCCAUGGCAAAGAUAAACUGUUAUUUUUUCUUAGAGUAGAAAGGUGGUUGAAAGCAAUUUAUUGAGAAAUUCAUCAGUUUAUUUGUAAAAGAACAGUGUUCUUUAGUACAACAUCGGGAAAUUUCCAGUAUAUUUCUUAGUCCCCAUUUUAAAAGAUAUCCAUUGAGAAUUUGAGUUUCAAAUUCCCUUGUCCAUCCUGAGCCCAUGGAAAAAAAUAAGAUUGAGCCUUAUAGAUCCUAACCAGGAAAUUUACCAACUGUCUCCAUGAAGAAAAAUUUAUUUCAACGUUUUGUUCACAGUUGGUUCACUUUGUUUUUAAAUCUUGGUUAUUCCUUACAAGUCAUUCAGUUUUUUCCACCCACGUACCCCUCACAUUUGAUGACCUGACAGAUUCUGCUAUUUGAUGUCAACUCAGUUCUUUCCUAAAGUCAGCCCUAGUCUUCAAUCAUCAUAAAGAUCAAAAGGAGAUUCUUUAGAUUGGGUUCUCUUCCAUUCUACUUACUUCGGGCCUUUCCUUUGAAUGCUAGCAUCUUUUCCCUUUUUUUCUCCAUUGUAGCCUGAUUUUUUUUUUUUUUAACACUACCUAUAUCAAUUAGUUGCCUAAUUAGUUUUAUCUACUUUAUGUGGAUGCAGUGAGUUUGUAAGAGAAUUUCACAAGCAAGUAGUUUUUUAGUGAACUUAAAGUAAACAGAAUUUUAAAGGAGACCUAUUUUUAUACUCAAUAGAAGCACAAAUGUGCAGAAAAUGUAAAAUGACUUACAAAAGGGAAACAAAGGUUCAUAAUAUUCCAUGUAUAAAAGUAAUAAUUUUAUUGGGUAGAGAUACUCUUAAAAGAUCCAAUACCUCUGCCAGUGCAAAGAAAGGAAUAUUUUAAAUGUUCUUAGAAAGUUUUGAUUGACUACAAUUGCAAAUGAAUGGCUUCUCUAUAAAGCAAGGCAAACCACUAAAGCAAUACGAUCGGGUUGGGAUGAGUGGUUUUCAAUGAGAAAAAUAAAAGAUCAACUUAAGCAAACCUGGAAGUGCAAAGGUGGAGGCUCUAGACUUAUUGUUUGAUCAAAUUUCUUUUUCAUAGUCACUUAAACCUGGAUUUCCCAUGCUGUGAAGACUGACAGAAUAAAGCAAUAUGACAAAAACUAUUAAAGUGUGUGAAAAAAAAAUUUAUUCCAGGAUCUUGACGUGAUUUUUCAUCUGACUACUCCUUUAUUCCAAUAUCCACAUAACAACAAAAAAGAUAACAGAGAUAAUAAUAUAUGACAAUAAGAAAUUUGAUCAAAUAAAUAAUGACAGAACCCUCUGUCACAAAUUUUUUUUUUCAUUUUUUUUCAUUAACCCUAUGUCCAAAAAGAACUUUCCUCAUCCCUUGAUUCACAAAGGGAGAAAAAAAAAAAAAACAUGCCAUUAUUAAUUAAUUUGUGAUUCAGUUUUUAUUGUACAUAUAAUGUGGGUUUGGAGUCUCUACUUUAGAUCUGUGACAUUUUUCUUUAAUAGGCUGUUUUAAAACUGAGGCCUCUUUUUUUCCUAUCUGGGACUCCUAGUGGUUACGGCAUUCUGAAAUGCUGUGUGAUGACUGGGCAGGAGCAUCUGAUGUUUUAAAGCAGUUUUUUCAGCAUGACACUUUAAAAAAAAAAUGUAAUUUUCAAGGCCACGUGAAAUUUACUUUCAUAGCUACUCCAGGUCUAGGAGGGGAAAAUCUGAAAAAUACUUUUGUUUAGAAGUCUGAGUGGUUUGUGGGGGGGAAACCUUUUUAGGUUUUGCAUGCCAGUGCAUGGCCUAUUGCUGUGAAACAGAGAGAGGGUAAAGCUGCCUAAGGCAAUGCACUGGAGGAUGAAAUGUUUAAUAGCACUAGGGGAAAAAAAAAGAUAAUGCAUGGCAAAGUUUGUCUUCUGGUAGACUAUAUAGCAUGCAGAGUUUAGUGUGUGUUAAAAACAGUGUAUGACAUUGCUGUAUCAAAGUUGUAAAAUUAAGCAUUAUUUAUUGAAAACUAUGUAUUUUUUUGUAAAAACCUGAUCACAUAGAGAAUAUCACAGUGGCUUGUGCUAGUGCUCCAAUCUUUAACCAGCUUCUUUCCUACCGUACUUGGUAUGCAGUGUUAAUGCUCAGGGUUGAAAAUCGUACACUCCAAUGUCUCUUUGGCAAGAAUUUUUAAACAGAGGAAUACAUUUGUUCAAAAGACUCUAAUAAAAUUGUGUGAUCAAUCUGCACUUGUGGUUUUUAUGUGCAUUUUUUCCAGUUUUGCAUUUGAUAACUGCUGUUUAAUUCCUCAAGUGUUGUCUCCAAACUGAUGUUACUGACAGGCUUUGUAAGUGCUGAGUCUCUCAAAACAAACAUGGCUGACAGCUUUGAGGUGAGGUCCUGAAUGCUGUCCUGGGCACAUGUGAUAGAUCUUAAAAUGGAAUAAUCAUAGUAAUUUAUCACUAUGUUUUACUGGCAGACAUAAUGAACAAAUGCAUAGGCAAAAUGUAGAAGCAUAGAUUAUGAUGGAGAUUUUUUUUUUUUUUCAGAUAAUGUUUAAAGUAGAAAAUGAAGGAAAAAAAUAUCAGGGGCAGUUGCUGCUAUUGAAUUCAAUGCCAGCAAACUCCAUUUCUCUGUGUCUUUUUUCUAUAAACAAUUUACAGUGUAAAUGUAUUUUGACAUAGAAAUCAUUCUGUAUUAAGAUUCUUGAUAUAAAAUGCUUUUAUGAAAGCCUGUAAGUGAUUCUUGGAAUAUUAUAAUAAGAUUUUUUAAAAAAAAUGUGUUUACAUGGUGAGUGCUUGUUGUAUAUUAAAUUUGGUUUUGUAGAAACGUUUGUGUUGUAUUGUCACAAAUUUCAAAGUGCACAUUGACACAAUCCCCGGAAACACUUUUAGACUCUUAGGCAAGUAUUUGUAAUGUUUCCUUACACACCAAAGAGCAAAAUACUUGUCUUCUAAGACAAAUCUUGUUUAAUUGUGCUCUAACUUCAGAGUUUCUGUUCUACAUCUUAAUAGUUCAGGUUCUAUUUUAUUUUUAUAGGUUUUCUAUAUGAAGCUUUUGAAUAAAAUUUAAAAUAGCCCUUUUUUAUCUUUCAGGUUUCUUGUGACAAAAAAUUUUUAUUCUUAUCUCCUUCACACCUCACUCCACCCCCAACCCCAGCACUGGCAGAGACAGUUCUUAUGUUAAUGAAUGGAAUGAUUUGCUUUUUAGUUAAUGCCUUGUUUUGGUGGGGAAAAUGUAUUAAUUCAUUAGUUAAAUGCUUUUGAAAACAAGAUAAAUCAAUAAAUAUUUAUUGGAUAAUUGGAUUAAACCACUUAGUUUUGGUCAUAUACAUAUGCCUAUAUGUAUGCACAUAUACACAAAUAUAUAUAUAAUAUACAAUUUAUGCAUAUGUAAUGCAAAUAUUUAUUCUAAUAUUCUCAAAUUAAAUUUAUAUUCAUGGAGAUCAUUAAAAUGAUUCUUCACUUUUAAAAC